GUGCUUACCCAAAUGUUGACAUUUCAGUUCAGAAUUUUGAACUUUCUUCAGGACGUCCUGAAGAAAGUUCAGAAUUCUGAACUGAAAUGUCAACAUUUUUUUACCA